rnacentral:sRNA from 1 species
GGAAGGAAAACGCCGCUUUGACUGUGCCUUGUUCUCACAGCUGGCGGGAAGCAAGCGCCUUUUCGAAAGCCAGAGGCUCGAGUUACCCCUCUUACCACCGUCAUGGCAGUCCCAGGUUGCAACAAGGACAGUGUCAGAGCAGGCUGUAAAAAAUGUGGCUACCCUGGUCACCUGACUUUUGAAUGCCGCAAUUUUCUCCGAGUAGACCCUAAAAGGGACAUAGUUUUGGAUGUCAGCAGUACAAGUAGUGAAGAUAGCGAUGAAGAGAAUGAAGAACUGAAUAAAUUGCAGGCAUUACAGGAAAAAAGAAUAAAUGAAGAAGAGGAAAAGAAAAAAGAAAAAAGCAAAGAAAAAAUCAAAUUGAAAAAAAAAAGGAAAAGGUAUUUUUUAAACAACAUUUUAAAAAACAAAGCAGGCCUAUGAGUUUAGGAUGGAUUAUAAAAUUUUAUUUUUUGUGUAUAAUAAUUUAAUAUUUUUUCUUCAACAACUAAGCUUUUCAUUGAGCUUAAGUUUAAACUCUUAAUAUAUAUUUUGUCUUCAUAUACAUGAAAUUGACUAAAAUAUUUGUAUUCUUGUAAUAUUACCAUGGCUAAUAAAGUAACUUAUUAAUAGAAUUUAAUAGAACUUGUCAUGCUGUCCAGGUGUGAUGGCUCAUGCCUAUAAUCCCAGCACUUUGAGAGGUCAUGGCAGGAGAAUGGCUUGAGCCCAGAAAUUUGAGACAGGCUUGGGCAACAUAGGGAGACCUCAUCUCUGCAAAAAGUAAAAGAAAAAUUAUCCAAGUGUGGUGGCAUGUACCUGUGUUCCCAGCUACG